rnacentral:rRNA from 1 species
AUUGAACGCUGGCGGCAGGCUUAACACAUGCAAGUCGAGCGGGGGAGGUUGCUUCGGUAACUGACCUAGCGGCGGACGGGUGAGUAAUACUUAGGAAUCUGCCUAUUAGUGGGGGACAACGUUUCGAAAGGAACGCUAAUACCGCAUACGUCCUACGGGAGAAAGCAGGGGAUCACUUGUGACCUUGCGCUAAUAGAUGAGCCUAAGUCGGAUUAGCUAGUUGGUGGGGUAAAGGCCUACCAAGGCGACGAUCUGUAGCGGGUCUGAGAGGAUGAUCCGCCACACUGGGACUGAGACACGGCCCAGACUCCUACGGGAGGCAGCAGUGGGGAAUAUUGGACAAUGGGGGGAACCCUGAUCCAGCCAUGCCGCGUGUGUGAAGAAGGCCUUAUGGUUGUAAAGCACUUUAAGCGAGGAGGAGGAGCUCUUGGUUAAUACCCAAGAUGCUUGGACGUUACUCGCAGAAUAAGCACCGGCUAACUCUGUG